rnacentral:rRNA from 1 species
UACGUAGGGGGCAAGCGUUGUCCGGAUUUAUUGGGCGUAAAGAGCGUGUAGGCGGCCAGACAGGUCAGCUGUGAAAACUCGAGGCUCAACCUCGAGACGUCGGUUGAAACCGUCUGGCUAGAGUCCGGAAAGAGGAGAGUGGAAUUCCCGGUGUAGCGGUGAAAUGCGCAGAUAUCGGGAAGAACACCCGUGGCGAAGGCGGCUCUCUGGGACGGUACUGACGCUGAGACGCGAAAGCGUGGGGAGCGAACAGG